AUCAUGGCUCAGGAUGAACGCUAGCUACAGGCUUAACACAUGCAAGUCGAGGGCAUCAGAUCGAAAGCUUGCCUUGAUGCUGGCGACCGGCGCACGGGUGAGUAACGCGUAUCCAACCUUCCCUAUAGUAGAGAAUAGCCCGGCGAAAGUCGGAUUAAUGCUCUAUGUUGUAUUUAGAGGACAUCUGAAGAAUACCAAAGGUUUACCGCUAUAGGAUGGGGAUGCGUCUGAUUAGGUAGUAGGCGGGGUAACGGCCCACCUAGCCGACGAUCAGUAGGGGUUCUGAGAGGAAGGUCCCCCACAUUGGAACUGAGACACGGUCCAAACUCCUACGGGAGGCAGCAGUGAGGAAUAUUGGUCAAUGGGCGAGAGCCUGAACCAGCCAAGUAGCGUGCAGGAUGACGGCCCUACGGGUUGUAAACUGCUUUUGCGGGAGGAUAAAGGACACUACGUGUAGUGUUUUGCAGGUAUCCCGUGAAUAAGGACCGGCUAAUUCCGUGCCAGCCGCCGC
rnacentral:rRNA from 1 species